rnacentral:rRNA from 1 species
AUACGGAGGAUGCGAGCGUUAUUCGGAUUUAUUGGGUUUAAAGGGAGCGUAGGUGGGAUAUUAAGUCAGCUGUGAACGUUUGGGGCUCAACCUUAACAUUGUAGUUGAUACUGGCUUCCUUUAGUACGGUACAGGAGGACGGAAUUCGUGGUGUAGCGGUGAAAUACUUAGAUAUCACGGAGAACUACGAUCGCGAAGGCAGCUCACCGGGCCGGAACUGACACUGAUGCUCGAAAGUGCGGGUAUCAAACAGGAUUAGAUACCCUGGUAGUCCGCACAGUAAACGAUGAAUACUCGCUGUUUGCGAUACACGGUAAGCGGCCAAGCGAAAGCGUUAAGUAUUCCACCUGGGGAGUACGCCGGCAACGGUGAAACUCAAAUGAAUUGACGGGG